UACGGGGGGGUAAGCGUUGUUCGGAAUUACUGGGCGUAAAGGGCUCGUAGGCGGCCAACUAAGUCAGACGUGAAAUCCCUCAGCUUAACUGGGAACUGCGUCUGAUACUGGAUGGCUUGGAUUCGGGAGAGGGAUGCGGAAUUCCAGGUGUAGCGGUGAAAUGCGUAGAUAUCUGGAGGAACACCGGUGGCGAAGGCGGCAUCCUGGACCGGCAUUGACGCUGAGGCGCGAAAGCCAGGGAGCAAACGGGAUUAGAUGACC
rnacentral:rRNA from 1 species